UUCUCGGCUUGAUGCGUACUUCGAAUUGGAACAGUACUUGGUCUCCGACUGAUGACGUAUCACGAGUACACGAGAACGCAAGUACGCACAAGUACGCAUAUUGAUAAACGCCCUCUAUUUCUAUCAUGUACCUCAGAGCUUCAAACCUCCCUGCACCUGUUAAACAGCGUUUGAUUGUUCCAGGAGGCGCUACAGGUGCAAUUGACAUAAACCCAGGGGCCCGUUCUUCGUACCUCGCUAAGAGCUGGAGUGGGCAAGCUAUUUAUUUGGAGGUCUUUCUUUCUUUCUUUCUUUUACCGUUUUUAUCAGGUAUGUCGGAUUUCAUGUUGUUGUUUUUGUUUUAUCAAAUAUGUUACGUGUAAAUGCACAUUUUAUGUUUAAUGUAAUAAUAAAUGCCAGCCCCUUUUCUACAAUUCCCCUGUGGGAGAGGAGCUGGAGUGGGCAAGCUA